rnacentral:tRNA from 1 species
AGAGAGGUGUCUGAAUAUAGAGUUAUUUUGAUAGAAUAAAAAAAGUGGUCCUCCCACCUUCUCUA